rnacentral:tRNA from 1 species
GGAACUGUAGCUCAGUUGGUUAGAGCACUCCGCUGAUAACGGAGAGGCCGGUGGUUCGAGUCCACUCAGUUCCACCA